AUUGAACGCUGGCGGCAUGCCUUACACAUGCAAGUCGAACGGUAACGCGGGGCAACCUGGCGACGAGUGGCGAACGGGUGAGUAAUGUAUCGGAACGUGCCCAGUUGUGGGGGAUAACUGCUCGAAAGAGCAGCUAAUACCGCAUACGACCUGAGGGUGAAAGCGGGGGAUCGCAAGACCUCGCGCAAUUGGAGCGGCCGAUAUCAGAUUAGGUAGUUGGUGGGGUAAAGGCCCACCAAGCCAACGAUCUGUAGCUGGUCUGAGAGGACGACCAGCCAGACUGGGACUGAGACACGGCCCAGACUCCUACGGGAGGCAGCAGUGGGGAAUUUUGGACAAUGGACGCAAGUCUGAUCCAGCCAUGCCGCGUGCGGGAAGAAGGCCUCCGGGUUGUAAACCGCUUUUGUCAGGGAAGAAACGCUCUGGGUUAAUACCUCGGGGUAAUGACGGUACCUGAAGAAUAAGCACCGGCUAACUACGUGCCAGCCGCCGCCGUAACAC
rnacentral:rRNA from 1 species